CAAGGGAUGGGUCACAUUUACAAUUUACAAUUUACAAUUUACAAUUUACAAAAGAGAGACUUAUGAGUUAUGAGAGACAAAUUGGAGUCUAACCAAAAAAAGGAACAAAAUAGAAAGCUGAAAAUGGCCUUUCACCGGCCAACACAAUAUUCCAAAUCCAAACAGGCCCUAACCCCCCAUUACCAGUUCACCAUUAGUCCUCUCAAAAAACCCACAAUUUCUCUCUCUCCUCUUUCUUCUUAAAUCAACCAUCUUCUUUCUCUAAAACUCUCAUAAAACUCAAAGAAGAAGAAGCAGCAGCAAGAAAAGAAGUUUAAGCUCAUUUUAAUGACUGUUCAUGGGGAAAUCUGGUGCAAUGACGAGCUUCCCUUGCUCCCGAAGAGGUACUACUACAGUUACCAUCUGACCCUUCCUAUGUAACCCAAGGUUGUUUUUGGGUAUUCUCAGAUGAGCGGUAUAAUGUAGGUCAGUAGGUGGAUCUCUGUGGAAACCCCUUCUCUCUUUAGCAUUGGCGUGGAAAAUGGCAGACAGGAUGGAGCCAGGCAUUAUAGUUCUAUAAAUACUAUUAUCAAUCCUUAACUUCUAUAUGAAUUUUUUUUUUUUUUUUUCUUAUUAACCCACCAAAAAUCUCAUACCCUUUUGUUGUUUUUUUUAAUUUUAAUUUUUUGAUUUUUUUUAAAGUUUUCAAUUUUUUUGAGAUUUUAGAAGAGGUGAAAAGCAAAUGAUUCGUCAUCAAGCAUGGUUAUCACCCAUCUGGGUGAGCUUUAAUCUCCUGUUUAUGAAGUAUUUUUAAUGGUGGUAUAUUUGUAUUAAGUGAAAAAAAUAUUGUACUGUUGGCCAUCAUGAUAUUGAUGAUGAUAUGUGCUUUUUUCCCAAUUUUCCAUGGAUAAUAUAAAUGCAUAGUUAUUUUAUUUCUCAAUUUUGUCCAUCUUUCCUUAAUUUGUUUUCUAUUUAUAUUUGAUGUUUGUUACCUAGAAGCUUGAUGUUGUGGGUGUUUUUAUGUUUUAUUUGCUUUCUAUUUUUGCCCAUUUGAGGCAAAAGGGGGCUGUACUUGAAAAUUAAGACUUGUUCAUUUUUGCUUCUUGUGACUUUUGGAACUUAUCUAUUUGAUUUCUUGCAGCAUUUGGAAUGGUCUAUUUGGCUUUUUCCUUGUAAUAAGGGGAAAGUAGAAUCUCCAAUGAAAAAGGGAAAAAAAUAUAAUUUCCUUACAUUGCUUUGUUCUGGUACCUAACUAUCUCUGAAUUGAUAAGCUUUGGAAUUUUGAAUGUGGUAUUCUACUUCAGUUCAUUUGAUAUUUAUGGAAUGUCUUAGUUGUCUUUGUGCACAAUGGAUGUGCAGUAGAGCUCAUUCCAACAUGUGUGAUUCUCAGCUUUUGAAGUUAUGUGCAUGAUUUGAUUUAUGGAUUGGUUGAAGGUUUUUCUUCUCAUAGGGGUUUCGAUUCUGCGAGGCAAAAGUGGAAAAGAACUUAAAUUUGAUUCAAAACGUGUCUUUGUGAAGAUAAACAGAUGUUAUGUUUUUAUUUUUAUUUGUGUAAGAAAAGCAGACCCUAAUUUAUUUGUACUUCUAGGAAGCUCAUGUAAAGUAUGCUUCUAGUCUUGCUUGCUAAUUCCUGGAGUAUAAGAAUAUCUCUAGGAAGCUCAUUUUUGAGACUAUUUGCCUCUGCAGUGUACUUCGUCUGAUCGUGCUAACCACGUUGUACUCUAUCUAGUACCUAAUUUGUUAUGUCUCAACCGAGAGAAACUGAUGAUGAACCAGAACCGAGAGAAACUGAUGAUGUCCUGGUUCAAUAGAUUUGGCAACGUUUACUGUUGGUGCUACAUCAUGCUCUAAACUGAUGUUCUAUGUGAAAGUUGAUCAAAUUUCAUAAACGAAGUUCAAGAUCAUAACGUAACCUGAACUUUGGGUGGAUAAAACUUAAGACGAAGAGUGACUUCUAUUUGAAUUAACCACAUAAAUUUAUAUGAAUAUUAAUGAUAAAAAGCUAAAGAAGGUAUGCAUUCCCUACUUAUGCCAUACUUUUAGAGAGCUUAUUACUGUUUUUUAAUUUAUUGUACUUUUCAAAUCUAUUAAGAAAAAGUAUGAUGAAAGGUCAAAAAGUUGCCCAUCUUUGCCAAUUAGUUUCCUGGCAGUUGAUGCUUUGACUCCCUAUCUUCAUUACUUAGACAUUGUCACAGGCUUGAGUUUUGAAGCUGCAAAGAAAACCUCAAUCCUGUUCCAAGGUAAGAUGACCUAGAAUAUGCCUACUGCUCUUUGAUAGUCAUAAUUAGUUGGGAAUUCUGAAUAUAUGCUUGUGGGUAGGUUUGUUUUUCUUUUUUUUUUAUUAGUUCAUAAGGUUAUGACAAAUCUAUAUCUACUGAUAACUUGACAUUCAACUGUUUAAAAAUUUCAUUGAAGUUUGUUUAUUAUUACUUCUCUUAUCGUUGCACCAAGUGAGUAAUGUCAUAUGAGGUGAGAAUCUGAAGGCUUCUUUAUUAAGUAAUUACAUCUUCUGCUAGCUGAUCGUACAAAAAUCUUCAUUUCCAAUUGUGUAGUGCUCAUAGUUAUACGUAUAAGGCGUGACAUGUCUUAAACGAUGUGUUCAAUGUUCUAUAUUUAGGUGGGUGAUCAUGAAUGCUGCUCUUUAUAAAAUUAAAGAUAAAAAUAGAAUUCACUACCAUGCUUUUUGAAGUUAGCUUACGACAUAUUAUUGUUUGGGACUUAAGAGCAGUGGUGGUUAGCUUUGAACUCCUUGGUUUUUUCCAUUUUUGGGUCAGACCUGGAUUUCUUUCAUCUGCUUCUUUUGGUGGGCUGUCUUACGACCGUGUAGUUUCUUAUGCAUCCCUGUAUUAUUCUCGAAGCAUUCCAUUUCAUCAAUAGUGUCCAUAUGUAUAGCUGGGUUAUGUAUCACGGAAAACAAGUAGUGAAACACAGUUGAAUAAAUGAAUGUAUUGAAAUGCUUCUACAAGACUAGUGUUCAGUGUUUAGAAGAGACAUAUAUUGAUGAAAUGGCCCCUCUUGUUAUGUAAAGAAUUAUGUUUGUCUUUCUGAACACUAUUGUCUAUCUUGCACUUUGUUUUUUGGUUUCCUUAUAUGAUAUUUCUCCUCUGAUUUACAUAGCUCUUAGGUAUAUCUGCCGCUAUGUUUAGCUGCACAUUAUAAACGUGUACUUCAUGAUUACUUUGUGCUAAUGAAUAACUGUUUUCAUAUUAGUAUGCAAACUAGUUAUAAAGAACCUCAUUUUGGUUUCUUUCAUUGUUACUUUUAUCAAUAUGGUUGGGCUUCUUUCAGUAUCAGAAUUUUAAGUCACUGUUUUUCCAGGCAAAGUAUGCUCAAUUAUUCUGCCUUGUGUUUCUAACAUGUCUGUCUUCCUCCUUGCUUUAAAUGUUGGUUAAGAAGGUUAACAUCUCUACCCAAUUAAUUUUUGGCUAAAAUGCAAUUUACGACCUACGGUUUUAACAAUAUAGCAUGUCACCACUUGUGGUUGAAAAACCUUCAAAUUACCACCUCCUGCUUGGUUUUUCGUCUUAACAACGUUAAAAAGGAUGGGUAACGUUUGUUUUGUCCUUAACAAUAUUAUAUGAUCAUAUUUUAAAGUUUUGACUUUCUUAGGCUAGGUAGGUGGGUAUUUAUAUGUAUUCGAUAUUGGGCCAAGUAAAAUUAAGACCCAACGAAUAAUAUAAUUAAAAGUAAAAGAUAAAAUACAUACAUAUAUAUAUAUACACACACACAUAUAAUUUAACUAAUUUGGAAGACAUAAGCAAACUAUGCCAAAUUAAAUGGAGAACAUCAACGUUAAUAAUUAAUUACAUUUGUUUUGUUAUCAAGCCAAAAAAUAAAAUAAAAAAA
rnacentral:lncRNA from 1 species